ACCAGGGAACGCGCAAUAGCGCUAUUAGUUCACGGGACAAUCGAAUCGAGGAUCGCCCUCUUUCCUAUUCACGUUAUGUCUAUCGGCUAAAGUCUUCAGCACGAUGAUUUUUAUACUACCGUAAAGCAAUAUAAUAAUUUAAUGAUACGAUACAAUAAUAUUGAAUUAAAUAAUAAACGAAAUGACAUCUCGCGAACGUUUGAAUAAAAUGGAUAGGGUCGUAUUCGGAUUAACGUUGUUAAUAAUUUGCUCGAAUAUCGAUGAUGCAACAGGAACGUGCGUUCACGUGGAAAACGAUGAUAUGUUGGAAUACUCGUGCGUCGGAGGACGUCCUGACGAUUUACUUUCCAUACCAACCGAAACGGAAAAAAUUCGUAUAAAACAAAUGGAAAUUCCUGUUAUAACUGAAGAUAUGUUUUCACGAUUCGGUAAUCUUUGGGUUUUGGCAUGUUCGCGAUGUAACAUCAUGGAUAUUGAACCGAACGCUUUCCAAUCUUUGGUCAAUCUUCAACAAUUAAGUUUGGACGAUAAUCGUUUGAAAACAGUCAAAGGAUCUUGGUUCAAAGGCAUGGAAUACUUGACUUAUUUGGAUCUAAAUUAUAACGAGAUAACGACGAUUGAAGACGAAGUGUACGAGAAUCUGCCGAGUCUUAUUGAUUUUCGAUUAUCCGGCAAUCGGUUCGAGUGCUUGAACAGCCAAGCUAUGGAAAACAUGUCGCAUUUGAAGAGAAUAUUUCUCAGUGAAAAUUCUGAGUUUAAGUGUCCGAACGCUAUCAGCAAGUUUCUCGAUGCUCGUGGCAUUAGUUUUGAUAAAGAUUCACAAUGGAAGGAUUUUGAUGAAGUUUCUGUCGAUAGCAUGGUUGUAGAUCACCAAACGGAAACUUCGACGGAUUGGUCGUCAAUGCCAGAUCAUCGUAAGAGAUUACAUUUUCCUACAGUUGUUACAACAACAACAACAACAACUGAAGAUACGAGAACACCUGAACGUACCUCAUCAACGUUUGAAACAACACAUUAUCCAUUGUAUGCUCCCGUGAGGGUUACUAUUACUUCCGAUCAUAAUGAAAAAAUAUCGCAAUUAUUCCCAUCGGUUGAUUCUUCUGCAAUCGUAGCUACGACUAAUAAACCGGAAGUGCCACGAUAUCCACCAACGAUCGCUGAUCCUUAUCUUCCUGACAUGACAACGACAAUUACAACGGAACAACCUUCUAUAUAUCCAUCAACGCAACCUUGGCCAAUUGUCACAGAAAACGACAGCGAAUAUCACAAAUCAUUAGACUACUACGAGGAAUACAAUCCAACUAGGACGACGUUCCCAUUUGAUUCAAGGCCAACUAAUCGAGAAACUUUGCCUCCUUUAUUAGAUCCAAGAUAUAUCUUAUCCACUCAACCACCUGAAAAUUAUUGGACGGAAAAUGGCAUACUCAUAGAACCGAAUUAUCCACUUCCUAAUCCAUCUUUCAGCCCGGGGCAUGAAGAAAAUGAUAUAGAAACUAUCGAAACUGAAGAUAUUCGUUUCACAAUUAGACCACCACAAAUACCACCUGAAAUUGUUCAACCUGCUGCACCUACCGAUUUACAUCAAGUACCUUACUACGAACCAACUGUGACCGUACAACGGCCAUAUGCACCAAAUUACGGACAAAAUCAACAACAAUCAAUGACAGUAGUAGAAACUACUACAGACAAACCGUUUCCCCAGUGUCCAUCAAUUUCAUCGAUAUCUGUUGACCUGACACCUUUUCUUAUCUUUCUCACUUUUAUUCUGAAUAUCAUCGUGCUGAGAUUUUAGCUGAUGGACAUUUGCCGUGAAUGAUGGCAUUAGUUUAGUACGACAAACGUGCACAACAUUGCAUUGACUUUAAUUCAAUACACUCGUACUCGUAUCUAUCGUACGAUUAUGAUUUAUUACUAUUAUUACUAUUAUUAUUAUUAUUAUCAUUAUUAUUAUUAGUAGUAGUAGUAAUUAUUAUUAUUAUUACUAUUAUGUAUGAGUCGAUAAUGUAAUAAGAACUUUGUACGAGAGAGUUCAAUUAAGUCGCGUAAGCAUUUAUGAGAUCACGAUCGACAUGCACCGUAUUUAGUUUUUAUUUCGAACAUCUCUGGGUUUUUUCUUUUUUAUGAUUAUGUAAAUGGAAAUUGUUCAAACUCCUCUUUUAUUAAUUGGACAAGACAAGAACCAGAGUUACAAUUGCGUACGUAUUAUUCCGUACGUGUGUAAGUAAACAAUAAUUUUUUUAAAUAAAAGUAAAUAAUGAUUUACUGUUCGCAUGAAUCUUCGAAGCUUACUCUACAAUUUGUCUAACAAUAAUAAUUAUAAAAAAAAUAUUUAAUCAUGCGAUUUGUCUAUGACGAAUCAGAGAAAGAAAGAAAGAUAAUCAGCCAGUGCAGACAAUUGAAAUAAACGAGCAAUGAGGGUCGCAUUGCAUCCGGAGUGGUAAUGAAAUAAUUACUAAUGCCAUCGUCCAACCACGUUGACUCUCGUUAUGCAACGACCUUGGUUUAGAUAAUUCCAGAACGCAAUAUCUUUAUCGCGAAUCUAUUUAUUAUUUUAUUUCAUUUACGAAACGCAACUGAAUAUACGUGUGUUUAUGUGUGAAAGAAUGUAGAUAUAAAUCAUCAUCCCUUUAAAUUGAUCUUGAUCUUGAUGAAUUAAUAGAUAGAUAAAUCUAACACUUGUUAAUUAUAUCGUACAAUUCUGCUCGCGUUGUAAAAGUUGUAAUAUUUGAUGGUGACAAUUAAUCAUCAUCCUGGAAAGUGAUAAAAUAUAAUUUGUUUAAGUAUCCUGAACAAUGAGUCAGUCAGUUAGUUAAUCGGUCAGUCGGUCAGUUAGUCAGUUAGUCAAUCAAUUUUUCAAUUAAGUCAAUCGUCAGAGUCAAGUUCAAGAAAAGAUUCAUGGAUCGUGGUUAGACAACAGGUGUUGAGAUUAGAAUCUUUGAUGAAAGAGAGAAACUAACGGUGCCAAAUGCAAAUAGAAUAUUGGCCUUGAAGAAAAACCCGUUCCUUUUGAGACUUGUUUACAAUAAAAGAAAAAGAAAGUUAGAAUAUUUCUUUUAUAACAAAAAUAUUAUCUUCAUACUUUUAAAGAUUCGAUUUCAUUUUCGGUCUUCUAUAUUUUGAACUUCUGAGAAAUAAAGGGAAUAAGUUCGGCCAGUUUGAAGAUUGUGUCAUGCCUAUGAACGAAUUAGAAAUUCUGCGUAAGCCGGUUGUGUAACUAAAGUUCCUAACAUUAGUCUUGCAACGUUUAGAGAGAAACUUGCCAGAAAUUAUAAAUAACGGAAUUUCCACGUUAGCAAAUUUUUGGAGUAGGUCACGAGCGAUAUGAAACAUCAUCGAUGAUUACGGAUUUUGUGUGAGGUCAACAAGUGAAUUGGAACAAAGUAAAAGGCAAUAGAGGCAGAAAGUUUGUUUGCCUUUUUAAUGGUCAGCCGUGUUUGUCGGUUUUUCUCUUUCUCUCUCGAAAGAGAGAGGGAGAGAAAUUUCAGAUGAGAUGAUUUAGAAUACGCGCGUUUCGAAAUGUGCCAAAUAGUGGUAUUGUAAAAUUCGUUGGUCAAGAAGAACGCGUAAUUCUUUGCUUUGAGAAAUAACAAAGGGAUACGUUAUAUCCGAUUGGACACGUUUCAAAUUAUAAUCUAUCCAUCUCUUGGUAUACAUAUAGAAAUGAUUUCCAAUGUGUAGAAGAAGAUGAUGAAGAAGAAGAAGAAGAAGAAGAAAAAGAAGAAGAAGAAGAAGCAUUUUCGUCUUAUUACGACACGUAUUUAUUUAAAUAUAUGCAUACAAAAGAGAGGGAGAAAGAGAGAAGGCACGUUAUUUAAUAACUGUUAAGAUCAGACACGAUUGUGGGACCACGUGUACAAAAAUAGAAAACAAAUCUCUUUUCGCCCUUAGCUAAAUUACAAUGGGCCAGAGAAGCCAUGGAGGCUGAACGAUUGAACAGAAUGCAA
rnacentral:misc_RNA from 1 species